CUACCCUUCCUCAGCUAGCCCUUACAUUUGUCUGGCUAACAGUAAAAAAAUACUAUAAUAAAUUGGUAACAUAUGUUGCCAGACAAGAAUAAGUGAUAUAAAUAAAGAGUCAAGAGACAUAGACCCUCAAGAAUAAUGCGUAAAGAUUUAAACUUCCAAUGUAUUAGUAAAGCUAGGAACAUUUUAGGAGGAACUUGAAAGUGGUGUUCUGUUUGUUUAUAUCAUUCCUUCUCUUUUUUUUUACCCCCCCCCCUCUCUUUUUUCUUCUCUUCAGAUUGCAUUUUAAAUCAAAAUGUUCUCCAUGACUGACUGCUUUGCAGCACUAGGUGCGCAGCCCCACAAAUUAAAUUGAUGAUUCCCAUAUCGGGCCAAAAAUGCAACAGGAGAAGGCUAUGAAAAAUUAGGAAAUCUUCUUGACAUUGGGAAAUCCGACACUUGUCUGCUCUAACAUCUGUAAGUGCCAAAGAAAGAGGGGGAUUUUUUUCCUUAAAGGUAAGUCUAUUUUUCUUCUUCUUGCCAGCGAUAAAAAUUGUGGUUAGUGCCUAGAGUAAAGGGCCCUCUAAACUUUAUAGUGUUUACCCUCCAUUUAUAAUUCCAUAAUUAUCUAUUUAAUGAUAUCAUAAGGUUAAAAGUUAAACAGCACUGUAUUUUCUCUAUUUUCUCCUCUGCCUUUUAGAAAGGCAGAUUUGCCUAUCUCCAAGGGACGAUCGGUCAGAGUUGUUUUCUGAAGAAGAAGCCUAUAGGUAAAGAGGCAUCCAUAUGUUCACACAGGAAGAUUCAUAAAGGCAAGGACAGGAACAUAAAGGUAUUAUUUUGACAUGAUGACCCCUGGAAAAUGUAUUUGACUCAUCCCAACCUAAAACCUACAAUGAAUUUACAUCAUCUAUAUGGAGCUUUGGACCAACAGGUAAUAAAAUACAAUAAAGCUUGCUUUUUAUCAGGACACACACACAAAAAAAUCCCAUUAAUUAUGGUUCAUGACUACUCUAAACCAAAUGUUCAAAUAGUAGUUGGAAAUGAUGCAUAAAAUCUCAGCAUGUUCUGAUAGGUUAUAGAGUCAGUGGUUUAUUGCAAUGUAAAACAAGCCACAGGAAGAGAGGGUGGUUUUGUUUACCAUUUUCAUCAAAGCUGUUCAUCAUGUUGAUAUACUUAUGCUAUAUUGUGACCCUUACAUACAUUGCAUUUCAUAUAUUUAUUUUCCAGGUUGUUGCCACUUUUGCUGCCUUUGCCUCUGAGAAGUUGAGUAAAUCCUCUGGCCCCUUUCAAAUAUUUUCUCAUCUGCACUGAAUUUCUACUGACAAAGCAACUGAUAGAUACUGACCUCAGAAAUAUUUAUUAUCAAUGAGUAAAGUUUUUUUGUUUUUGGUUUUUUUUUUUUUUUACUUAAUCUGAGGCAAUUAGUUCCUGAAUAAACACAGACUAAGUAAUCUACCUCCUCA
rnacentral:lncRNA from 1 species